GGGUCAGUAGGUUGGUCGUGCCACCGGUACGUACUGGUCUCACUGAUUCCUCCUUCCUGAGGAACCGUAAUGCCAUUAAUUUGGUGUUGCGGGGAAACAGGACUGUUACUUUGAAAACAUUAGAGUGUUUAAAGCAAGCUAACGCUUGAAUACAUUAGCAUGGAAUAAUGAAAUAGGACGAUCGAUCCUAUUUUGUUGGUUUCUAGGAUUGACGUA
rnacentral:rRNA from 1 species